rnacentral:rRNA from 1 species
UCCCAGACUCCUACGGGAGGCAGCAGUGAGGAAUAUUGGUCAAUGGUCGGGAGACUGAACCAGCCAAGCCGCGUGAGGGAUGAAGGUCCAGAGUAUCGUAAACCUCUUUUGUCAGGGAACAAAGGCGGGGACGUGUCCCCGGAUGAGUGUACCUGAAGAAAAAGCAUCGGCUAACUCCGUGCCAGCAGCCGCGGUAAUACGGAGGAUGCGAGCGUUAUCCGGAUUUAUUGGGUUUAAAGGGUGCGCAGGCGGUCUGUCAGAUCAGGGGGAAAAGCCCGGGGCCCACCCCCGGCCCCGCCGUUGAAACUGGCGGCCUCGAGUGGGCGAGAAGUAUGCGGAAUGCGUGGUGUAGCGGUGAAAUGCAUAGAUAUCACGCAGAACUCCGAUUGCGAAGGCAGCAUACCGGCGCCCGACUGACGCUGAGGCACGAAAGCGUGGGUAUCGAACAGGAUUAGAUACCCCGGUA